GAUGAACGCUGGCGGCGUGCCUAAUACAUGCAAGUCGAGCGAAUGAAUUAAGAGCUUGCUCUUAUGAAGUUAGCGGCGGACGGGUGAGUAACACGUGGGUAACCUGCCCAUAAGACUGGGAUAACUCCGGGAAACCGGGGCUAAUACCGGAUAACAUUUUGAACCGCAUGGUUCGAAAUUGAAAGGCGGCUUCGGCUGUCACUUAUGGAUGGACCCGCGUCGCAUUAGCUAGUUGGUGAGGUAACGGCUCACCAAGGCAACGAUGCGUAGCCGACCUGGGAGGGUGACCGGCCACACUGGGACUGAGACACGGCCCAGACUCCUACGGGAGGCAGCAGUAGGGAAUCUUCCGCAAUGGACGAAAGUCUGACGGAGCAACGCCGCGUGAGUGAUGAAGGCUUUCGGGUCGUAAAACUCUGUUGUUAGGGAAGAACAAGUGCUAGUUGAAUAAGCUGGCACCUUGACGGUACCUAACCAGAAAGCCACGGCUAACUACGUGCCAGCAGCCGCCGUAA
rnacentral:rRNA from 1 species